UAUUAACUGUAAAUAAAAUAAUAGUCUAUAAAAUUAAUGUAAUAAGCUGUAAAUAAAAAAAGUAUGUGAUUCAUUGUGUGCGUGUAUCCUGUUUUCUUUGUGUUGCUGAACUUGACAUGUCUCACAUUUCUGUUCUCUAUCUCAAAAUUAUACUUACCAAGCAAAUUAGUUCCAAAAGGUUUAAAAACAGUUUGGCAAUUCUCAAUGGUCAAUUUUCAUAAUUGUACUUAUUUUGAGAAGAAAAGAUUCAACCACCUGCUUGCUAAACUUGCAUUCCAAAAAUAAUCGUUUACUGUAAGAUCUAAAUAAUCUGAGUUUGUUUUUAUCCAAAUUAAUUUUGCUAUCAAUGUUUUAAUAGAAAAGAACAUAAAUGCUAUUAUUUGGUUUGGUAUUAUUAUAGUUCCAGAUCUAGGAGAUGCACAGGAGAAAGACAUUUUUCAUUCUUUAAGUUAGCUCCCGUUCUGUAAUUUUUUAUAUCUUAGCUUCCCACAUUGUCUGUUUUUUAAAGUAGCAAUGUAAGGCGUGCAGAUACGAGGUCUAGUCAGUCGGCCAAACUAAUGUUACUUUUUGAGGCUUCACUGUAUGGUUAGAUGCUUAUUCUUGUUAUGCUUUCCAGCAACUCUUCUUCCAUUUGUGUACCCUCAUCCAAUUCUUUAGAGUACUGCAUGACAUGCAGAAAGUUUUGGUUUAUUGUGGGAGAAUCAUCUUAGAGUAGACAUUUUAAAUGUAAUUGACUUAUAUGAGUUUACUUUCUUGAGCCCAGAUGAAUAUCUCAACAUUGAUGAGUUCGAACUAGGUCUUUUGCCUCUUGAUUGUCAGAAGGGCUCAUCAUUCAUGGCUGUCCUACCGAUAAAAUUUGAUUUCUUACAACAUUACAGAAAGACAUUCUUCUGUGUUUUACUCCAUUUCAACCCAGCACAAUGGACCCAGUCUUGAGAAUAUUGCUGGAGUUUGCAACUUAGUUAAGAAUGUAGCAAAUGCUUAGAAAGGUGAUAAUGAAUGCAAUGCUCUUCGGAAAUGUAUGCCAUUACUGUUUUUUGAGGUAACCUCAAAUACAUAUGAUUAUCUGUUUAUUUUUCAAAAACUGUUUCAUGAAAUUAUCCCGUCAGUGUUCUUCAUUGUUUUCGGAUUGGUUGCUGUCAACAAAGUUACCUUCUUUGAUAAUGAUACUGGCUAGAGACAGGCUAAAGCUCAUGUCAUUUUCAAUGCCUUGGAUGCCAGUUAAAUGUACAAGAUUUUUUUAGUUCUUGCAUGAGUUUUUGGCGCCAUGGCUACUUUUAAUAUCUUGAAUCUCUGUUGUCUACCAUGUACCAAACACGAAGAGGUGAAUUCAUGGAUAAAAUGUAAUAGUUUGAGCUGGUUGUUGGAUGGGGUCAAUGACAGACUGCUACAUUUGUUGCUGUUGUCUGGUAUGUACACAAAGAGAUGUAUUCAUGGGUAAAAUGUAAUAAAUGGAGCUGAUUGUUUCCUUUUGCAUCAGCUGUGUAAACCCCAUAUGUGUGUGAUUUGAAAAUAGAUCAGUCAAAGUUAGUCAACAAAUUGAUGUCUCAGUUUUUACCUGUUCAAAUUUUCUUAAUGCAUAAGACAAAAUCGAUUUAUAUAGGGGGAAAGAUGAAACAGAUAACAGGAGUGACUAAAGUUGGAAUUCAGAAGCCUUUUCUAAUUGACUCGGGUGAUUUUCCUUAA